UCGGGAAUUUUGGGCAAUGGGGGAAACCCUGACCCAGCAACGCCGCGUGAAGGAUGAAGUAUUUCGGUAUGUAAACUUCGAAAGAAUAGGAAGAAUUAAUGACGGUACUAUUUAUAAGGUCCGGCUAACUACGUGCCAGCAGCCGCGGUAAUACGUAGGGACCAAGCGUUGUUCGGAUUUACUGGGCGUAAAGGGCGCGUAGGCGGCGCGGUAAGUCACUUGUGAAAUCUCUGAGCUUAACUCAGAACGGCCAAGUGAUACUGCAGUGCUAGAGUGUGGAAGGGGCAAUCGGAAUUCUUGGUGUAGCGGUGAAAUGCGUAGAUAUCAAGAGGAACACCUGAGGUGAAGACGGGUUGCUGGGCCAACACUGACGCUGAGGCGCGAAAGCCAGGGGAGCAAACGGGAUUAGAUACCCCGGUAGUCCUGGCCCUAAACGAUGAAUACUUGGUGUCUGGAGUUUUAAUGCUCCGGGUGCCGUCGCUAACGUUUUUAGUAUUCCGCCUGGGGAGUACGCUCGCAAGAGUGA
rnacentral:rRNA from 1 species